CCGAGCUAUUUCCUCAGCUCCGUUUGUUUUCUCAGAAAAUAAAAGAAAGGGAAAAUUUUUAGUUUUUCGCUUUCAGAAAGUUCAAACGGAGCCUUAGUGGUUGAUUUUGAGGCGAUUGUUCUUGCUUUUUCCAAUCCAGACAUUGAUAAUGCAUGAUUUACUUGAAAUCAUCCGUUGUUUUAUUUUUUCAUCAUUUUCUCAGCAACCAAAAGGAGCGAUUGCGAGAUCACUGAUCUGUACAUAUCUGCAUUUGAUGCUGUACUAGUUUAUUGUUGUAUUGUUACUUUUCAGAAUUUUAACUUGCUUUCCUACAUUUUCUCGGCGAACAUACACAGAAAUACUGCAUUGAGCGGUGAAUGAGUUAAUUGGUGUUCUAUUGUUGUUCAUUAUUUUAAUUAAUUUUCAUUUCCAUAUAUUUUCUCUCCAUUCAAACAGAGCAUUUAUGAUAUCAUUGAUCUGUGUAAACUACAUCAAUUAUUUGGCACGAAUUUGAGCCUUUUCUGUUGGUUUGGUUUGGAUUUGUUUUCACAUUUGUGCUUGUAUCUCUACGUAUUUGUUGUUUAACAGAUAAAUAAGUCUUGGCAUUUGUGAUGGUUUUUUCUAUUGAUUGAAAUGGAUUUAUUGUUUUGUAGAGUUUUUUUUACAGUUUUUGUGUCAACAUUUAGGUUUUUCAACCUAAAUGUGCUAUGCUAUUAUGUUGGAAAGGUUGAGCCUUUUAGGGCUUACUGCAUACUCCAUGAGAAAGUGCUGUUCUAUUUAUGUGCACCAUUUCAAAGUUUCACUCAAUUUCCUCUGAACAGCUAAGAUGAACUUUUAACCAUGGAGUAUGCACAUUUAGAUGUACCCUCACACUGUGAAAAGGCCUAAAUAUCUGCAUUCUUUGGUUGUAAGUUUGCAAUUUGCAGCAGCUACAUGAAGUACAUACUCUGGUAGAUUUGUGGGAAUUAUUGUGAAAAUAGAGGGUUUCCUUUAGGUUGAAUGUAAAUUUUGAGUGCACAUUGAUUCUUCAUCUCAUAUGUAUUUUGAAGGAAAUGAACCAGUGCUUGUAUGUUGAUUUUUAUGUAUUUUUGAGAUGUUGAUAUUCUCUUUCUUUCUCGCCUCUUUUCUUUUUCCCUUUUAUUUUUUCCUUACAAAUUCUUACAAGUGAAUAUGGAUAUGAUGGCUAAAAGUAAAAGGUCUGAGCAGGAAAGCAGUGUUGGUAGUGAUGAGAUGGAAAUGGGGGAAAGGAAGAGGGCCCCUUGUUCCUGUUCAAGUUAUUACAUUGUGACAUUCGCAACCUCUUCUACAUCAAAUUUUCCCUUGCUUAAAGCUUGGCAUUGGGUUGAAAAAAAAAGGCGUGGGUUGCAUUCUAGAAUUGAAUGCUGACCUAGAAUUCUCCCAACAUGAUCUGUAACCCUAUUAUUUGAACAUCUGUCUUCUGCCAUCCUGCUUCCUGCGUUGAUAAAACCUUCAUGCUGAUCCUUUCACUGAUGAUUUUUUUUAUUUUUUUCGGUAUUAACCUGCUCUGUCUAACUGUCCCUCUCAAAAAAAGAAAAAGAAAAAGAAAAAAGAAAAAGGAAACAGGAAAUGUUUUUAUUAUAUCCUGGGUUCAGGCUCAUAUAGCCUUGUUCAAUCUUUCCAUCAUUCAAGGGGAACUUUCAAACAUACCCAUCAAAUUCAGACCAAACAAUUUUAGGUAAGGUAAUUAUUAUUAUUUUGGUGCAUGGUUUUGAACCAGGAACUUUCCUAUCCCUACCCUAGUCUACCCCAAAGCCACACCUCAAGGGCUCUAGGUGGGGUAGUUAUUGUUUUUUCAUUUUUCUUUUUUUGUUUCCAUCGGUGUUUUGAAAGGCUAUUGGGGCCUCAAGUUGAGGCUAUGCAAAUUAGCCUUGAGGCUAUAGCCUCAAUAGAGGAUAAUCGAGGCUUAAGUCUCAAAUAUUCAAAAGGUUUUAAUGGGUUUAGGGUCUUUAUCGACUUUUUAUAUACAUUUUUAAGAGGUUUAAGUCUUAAUAUUUUAUUGGUUGUAGUAACCUGUGCUUUUAUGGGGUUUUGAUAUAAAUUUUUAAGUUUUGUCUUGUAUCAAGAUUAGGGUUAAGCCUUUUAGAAAACAAAGGAUUAGUUGACUAUCAAUUAAUUCUUUAAAUGGAAAUGAAAGGAAGAGAUUGGGAAGAAGAAAUAAAAGAUUGUUGGUCAUUGUAGUAACCGAACUUAUAUAAUCAUUAUCUUAUUAUUGAUGGAUAAAGGAAAAAAAUAAUUGUAAUUAAUGGAUAAAAAAGAAAAAUGGAUUGACACUAACUUUGAUGGAGAGGAUGGAGCAAUUAGAUAUAAUUAUGAUUCAUUAGAGGAUCCUAUUGGUGAUAGUGAUGGUAGUUUUGAAGAUUAUUUGAAAAAUGCAUGAGAGAGAGUUGGAUUUUAGAACAGACAAAAAAACUAAAUUAGAAGCCAUUGAAAAUGACGUACAAUUAAUUUGAAUCAUUUGAUUAUUAUAUAUUGUAUGGUUUUUUUAUUAUUUACUUUUCAUGUGAUUUUAUUAAUAUUUUUCUGAUUUUUAAGAUUUUUUUCUUUUUAUUAUUAUUAAAGUUGAGGCCUAGGCCUUAUCCUGUCUUGAAGUUACACUUUAUCUCAUCUAGGCAAAACGCUCCCAGGUUGCCUUUAGCCUUUUAAAACAUUGGUUUCUAUAAUAAUAUUUUUUUUUACUGCACUAAUUAGUAGGCAAAUUUACACUCCAUUGUUCAUAUAUAACUACUUUAAUGGAAUACAUGAGAAUCAUCACUUAUUUACCAGAUCUUAACAUAGAAAUUUUAACAAGUCCUUUUUUUUAGCAAAAACCUGGUUAUCAACAUAGAUUUAUCAUAAUCUUUAUGAGAUCAUCCUUUCUGACGGAUGGAUGUUUAUUUAGCUUUAUAAAUGCAUGGAUUCAUUUAUGGAAGCAAUCCAGUCUCCAUUUUUAGAUUAUUAAUGUUGAAGCUAAAUUCUCUUUCAGUAUCCUACAAAUUUGGGAUGAAUCAACUUGUUGAAGCUGCAGCCUUAAUUUCAUCCACAAACCGUCAUCCUUGCUCUAAUUGACUGUUUCAAGCUUAGAAAGUUGUUACACUGGUUUUCUGGGAUAUGAUUAUCAGUAACUCUUAAUAACUAUUCUCCAAGAGAAGUAGGGCAGGCAGAAUGGUACGAGUUUCAAAGAAGAAUGAAAAUGGUGGAGUAUCUGAACUGAAUCCAGAAGCUGAAGAGCGUAAAAGACGAAAAAAAUUGGCGUUCUCCAAGAACUUACUGUCAGAUACUCCUUCAAAAGCGUUUUCAGCGCUGAGCCCUUCAAAAACAGUGAUCAAACACCAUGGAAAAGAUAUUCUGAAGAAAUCUCAGAGGAAGAAUCGGUUCCUCUUCUCAUUCCCAGGUCUUCUUGCUCCUAUCGCUGGCGGCAAGAUUGGUGAACUCAAGGAUUUGGGAACCAAGAAUCCUAUACUCUACCUUGAUUUCCCUCAGGGUCAAAUGAAGUUGUUUGGGACUAUAGUUUACCCGAAGAACAGGUAUUUGACUCUGCAUUUCUCUAGAGGCGGAAAAAAUGUAAUGUGUGAGGAUUACUUUGAUAAUAUGAUUGUAUUUUCUGAUGCAUGGUGGAUUGGGAGAAAGGAGGAGAAUCCAGAAGAAGCCCGACUCGAGUUUCCUAAAGAACUGAGUGAAGGACAAAGUGUUGAAUACGACUUUAAAGGGGGUGCAGGCAUGGCAUCUGACAGUAAGCAAGGUGUUAAUAAACCUGAAAUGAAAUAUGUAGAACCGCAGUCACCUAAACCUGAGCUAGAAGAUGAUUUGUCUGGUGAAGACAGUUUGAAAGAUGUGGUUGAAAUGACACCGAAAGAUGUUGAAGUGACACCAGUUCGCCAUUCACAGAGAACUGCAGGAAAAACAUUCAAUUUUGCAGAAGCUUCUUCUGGAGAUGAUUCUGUUGAAAAUGAUGGCAACAUAUCUGAUGGACAAGAAAAUUCUGGCUCUGCAACACCUGAAAGUGGCAAUGAAGAUGCUGAAGCAAGGACUCGAGCAACCACACAAAUUCAAGAGUCUGCUGGGGCAGCUACCAAGUCAAGGAAACGACUAUCUCAAGCUACUAUAUCCACAUUGUUUAAGAAAGUGGAGGAACAGAAAACAUCCAGAACUCCAAGGAAAUCCUCAUCAACCAAAGCUUCUGCCCAGAAGACUGAUUCCAGGAAAGCUCAGGAACACGGGAAAAAAAGAAAAGUAAUUGAGGAAACAAAAUCUGAGAUGGACAUCUCAACAGAAAGUGAACCAUCUGAUGAGGAAAAGAAAACAUCUAGAACCCCAAGGAAAUCCUCAUCAACCAAAGUUUCUGCCCGGAAGACUGAUGCCAGGAAAGCCCAGGGACCCAGGAAAAGGAGAAAAGUAAUCGAGGAAACAAAAUCUGAGAUAGACAUCUCAACAGAAGGCGAGCAAUCUGAUAAUCCGAUCUCUGAUGCUUCUGUUAGAGUGUACAAGAGAAAGAUGAAAAGCCCUGCAGCUUAAACAGCAUUGGCCCAAUGACUUGACUAGUGAGUCCAACUCCAGCUUCAAAGAUUUCUCUUCCAUUGAUCUUCAGAAUCCCACCCAACUCCAUGGAGCCGACUGGGUUGUGAUGACUUGUCAACCACAAGAUGGAGAAAGAAUGUAUGGAAACUACUAGAUGUAGGGAGUGCAGACACGAAGCAUGGCCAGUUGGAGAUAAUUGUUUAUUCUGACCCAACAUAUCCCAGACAUUUGAAAGGGCCCGAGCCAAGAGUGUAGACUGUAGAACACAACCCCACCGGCUGUAGCUCUGUAAGUGUUUCAUUCGACAUCUUCUUUUAUUAAUUCAAUUAUUUGUUCUAUGUACGAGCCUCUACAAAACUGAGCUCAUUGCUUUUAAAAUACUGAACCUGGAGAGCAAAAAUUGGAAUAAGGGUAGUUCAGACUUCAGAGGAGUCAUUCUCUGCUAUUAAA